rnacentral:rRNA from 1 species
UACGUAGGGGGCUAGCGUUGUCCGGAAUCAUUGGGCGUAAAGUGCGCGUAGGCGGCCCGGUAAGUCCGCUGUAAAAGUCAAAGGCUCAACCUUUGAAUGUCAGUGGAUACUGCCGGGCUAGAGUCCGGAAGAGGCGAGUGGAACUCCUGGUGUAGCGGUGGAAUGCGCAGAUAUCAGGAAGAACACCGACGGCGAAGGCAGCUCGCUGGGACGGUACUGACG